UACGAAGGGGGCUAGCGUUGCUCGGAAUUACUGGGCGUAAAGCGCACGUAGGCGGCUUGUUAAGUCAGGGGUGAAAUCCUGGAGCUCAACUCCAGAACUGCCUUUGAUACUGGCGAGCUUGAGUUCGGGAGAGGUGAGUGGAACUGCGAGUGUAGAGGUGAAAUUCGUAGAUAUUCGCAAGAACACCAGUGGCGAAGGCGGCUCACUGGCCCGAUACCGACGCUGAGGUGCGAAAGCGUGGGGAGCAAACAGGG
rnacentral:rRNA from 1 species